AUUGAACGCUGGCGGCAGGCCUAACACAUGCAAGUCGAGCGGAUGAAGGGAGCUUGCUCCUGGAUUCAGCGGCGGACGGGUGAGUAAUGCCUAGGAAUCUGCCUGGUAGUGGGGGAUAACGUCCGGAAACGGGCGCUAAUACCGCAUACGUCCUGAGGGAGAAAGUGGGGGACCUUCGGACCUCACGCUAUCAGAUGAGCCUAGGUCGGAUUAGCUAGUUGGUGGGGUAAAGGCCUACCAAGGCGACGAUCCGUAACUGGUCUGAGAGGAUGAUCAGUCACACUGGAAGUGAGACACGGGCCAGACCCCUGCGGGAGGCAGCAGGGGGGAAUAUUGGACAAUGGGCGAAAGCCUGAUCCAGCCAUGCCGCGUGUGUGAAGAAGGUCUUCGGAUUGUAAAGCACUUGAAGUGGGGAGGAAGGGCAGUAAGUUAAUACCUUGCUGUUUUGACGGUACCAAAAGAAUAAGCACCGGCUAACUUCGUG
rnacentral:rRNA from 1 species